rnacentral:rRNA from 1 species
AGCCGCUUCGGUGGUGGAUUAGUGGCGAACGGGUGAGUAACACGUGGGCAAUCUGCCCUGCACUCUGGGACAAGCCCUGGAAACGGGGUCUAAUACCGGAUACGACUACCGACCGCAUGGUUGGUGGUGGAAAGCUCCGGCGGUGCAGGAUGAGCCCGCGGCCUAUCAGCUUGUUGGUGGGGUGAUGGCCUACCAAGGCGACGACGGGUAGCCGGCCUGAGAGGGCGACCGGCCACACUGGGACUGAGACACGGCCCAGACUCCUACGGGAGGCAGCAGUGGGGAAUAUUGCACAAUGGGCGAAAGCCUGAUGCAGCGACGCCGCGUGAGGGAUGACGGCCUUCGGGUUGUAAACCUCUUUCAGCAGGGAAGAAGCGAAAGUGACGGUACCUGCAGAAGAAGCGCCGGCUAACUACGUGCCAGCAGCCGCGGUAAUACGUAGGGCGCAAGCGUUGUCCGGAAUUAUUGGGCGUAAAGAGCUCGUAGGCGGCUUGUCACGUCGGAUGUGAAAGCCCGGGGCUUAACCCCGGGUCUGCAUUCGAUACGGGCAGGCUAGAGUUCGGUAGGGGAGAUCGGAAUUCCUGGUGUAGCGGUGAAAUGCGCAGAUAUCAGGAGGAACACCGGUGGCGAAGGCGGAUCUCUGGGCCGAUACUGACGCUGAGGAGCGAAAGCGUGGGGAGCGAACAGGAUUAGAUACCCUGGUAGUCCACGCCGUAAACGUUGGGAACUAGGUGUGGGCGACAUUCCACGUCGUCCGUGCCGCAGCUAACGCAUUAAGUUCCCCGCCUGGGGAGUACGGCCGCAAGGCUAAAACU